GAAUGUUUGGGAAUGAGAGGAUGAGUGA
rnacentral:piRNA from 1 species